rnacentral:rRNA from 1 species
CGGACGGGUGAGUAACGCGUGAGUAACCUGCCUUACACAAGGGGAUAGCCGUUGGAAACUACGAAUAAUACCCUAUGACAUAAACUCCUCGCAUGAGGAGCUUAUCAAAGAUUUAUCGGUGUAAGAUGGACUCGCGUCUGAUUAGCUAGUUGGUGAGGUAACGGCCCACCAAGGCGACGAUCAGUAGCCGGCUUGAGAGAGUGUACGGCCACAUUGGGACUGAGACACGGCCCAGACUCCUACGGGAGGCAGCAGCC